GCGAGUGUAGUUCAGUGGUAGAACGUGACCUUCCCAAGGUUGAGGCGGGAGUUCGAUUCUCCUCACUCGCUCCA
rnacentral:tRNA from 1 species